rnacentral:rRNA from 1 species
AUGGAUAGCAUGCGAGUUGUAUGUCCCUAGACUGCUGGGGGCAUAGCGAACGGCUCAGUAACACGUGGCUAACCUACCCUCGAGACGUGGAUAACCCCGGGAAACUGGGAUUAAGCCGCGAUAGGUCCAGAAUUCUGGAAUUGAAUCUGGACUGAAAGGUUGUGUAAGCAUGUUUUACAUCAUUACUCGGGGAUGGGGCUACGGCCGAUCAGGCAGUUGGCGGGGUAAUAGCCCACCAAACCUUUGACCGGUACGGGCUUUGAGAGAAGGAGCCCGGAGAUGGACACUGAGAUAAGGGUCCAGGCCCUAUGGGGCGCAGCAGGCGCGAAACCUUCACAAUGAGCGAAAGCUUGAUGAGGCUAUUUCAAGUGCCAUCCGCUAAGGAUGGCUUUUCCUAAGUCUAAAUAGCUUGGGGAAU